GAGGGUCCGAGCGUUAUCCGGAAUUAUUGGGUUUAAAGGGUCCGUAGGCGGAUGAUUAAGUCAGGGUGAAAGUUUGCAGCUCAACUGUAAAAUUGCCUUUGAUACUGGUCAUCUUGAGUUGUAUUGAAGUAGGCGGAAUAUGUAGUGUAGCGGUGAAAUGCAUAGAUAUUACAUAGAGCACCAAUUGCGAAGGCAGCUUACUAAGUACUAACUGACGCUGAUGGACGAAAGCGUGGGUAGCGAACAGGAUUAGAUACCCUGGUAGUCCACGCCGUAAACGAUGGAUACUAGCUGUUCGGGACCUUGAGUUCUGAGCGGCUAAGCGAAAGUGAUAAGUAUCCCACCUGGGGAGUACGUUCGCAAGAAUGAAACUCAAAGGAAUUGACGGGGGCCCGCACAAGCGGUGGAGCAUGUGGUUUAAUUCGAUGAUACGCGAGGAACCUUACCAGGGCUUAAAUGUAGUCUGACAGCUUUAGAGAUAGAGUUUUCUUCGGACAGAUUACAAGGUGCUGCAUGGUUGUCGUCAGCUCGUGCCGUGAGGUGUCAGGUUAAGUCCUAUAACGAGCGCAACCCCUGUUGUUAGUUGCCAGCAUGUCAUGAUGGGGACUCUAACGAGACUGCCGGUGCAAACCGCGAGGAAGGUGGGGAUGACGUCAAAUCAUCACGGCCCUUACGUCCUGGGCCACACACGUGCUACAAUGGCCGGUACAGAGAGCAGCCACGUCGCAAGGCGGAGCGAAUCUAUAAAACCGGUCACAGUUCGGAUCGGAGUCUGCAACUCGACUCCGUGAAGCUGGAAUCGCUAGUAAUCGGAUAUCAGCCAUGAUCCGGUGAAUACGUUCCCGGGCCUUGUACACACCGCCCGUCAAGCCAUGGAAGCUGGGAGUGCCUGAAGUCCGUCACCGAAGGAGCGGCCUAGGGUAAGAUCGGUAACUAGGGCUAAGUCGUAACAAGGUAGCCGUACCGGAAGGUGCGGCUGGAACACCUCCUUUCUAGAGAAAAACAACCAAAAGAUUUAAGUACCUUACUCUUUUGGAUAGUUUAUUCAAUCUUGCUGUUCUUUUUAAUUAAGAUAUAUUACUAGUGUUAUGUAGGUAUAGUUGCUUACAUCAUAUUAGAGAUAGAAAUUUAACAAUGCGCAGUCUCAUAGCUCAGCUGGUUAGAGCGCUACACUGAUAAUGUAGAGGUCGGCAGUUCGAGUCUGCCUGAGACUACAAGUUUUAGUUAAAUGAAUAAAGUGUUGUAAAGACCUAUUUGAAACAACUAAAGUUUACUUUAAGUUGUUUUAGAGAUGUUUUUACAAAACAGAAGCGCAGCUUCACACUUUAUUAUCAAGAUAGCUAUUUGCGUAGAAAGCCUGUAGGGCUUACUACUUAAAAUGUUAUUGUUAGAGUUUUAUCAAAAUUACGUUCAUAGAGAUAAAAAUUAGGAAAUUUUAGAAGUUGGGUUACGGGGUGUUACCUUAGGUAACAUGCUUAGAACCUUGAAAGACUUUAGAGUUUUAAAUGGGGGAUUAGCUCAGCUGGCUAGAGCGCCUGCCUUGCACGCAGGAGGUCAUCGGUUCGACUCCGAUAUUCUCCACGAUUAAUUGCAGAUACUAUAGGGAUUGCUACACGGCAUGAACUAUGGAGUAGAUUAAAAACGUUCAUUGACAUAUUGGGACAUUGUGAUUGUAAUCUUCAGGGAUUACAACACGAUAAAAAAUGGAAAUACGAGCGAUAUAUAUUUUCGAAUAUGUAUUGUAAUAAAUAAUAAUUAAGAGAAUGCUCAGCAUAUGUACGAGGUACAUAUUGCGGCAAAGAUCUGGCGACAAGCUAGAUAAGGGCGUAUGGGGAAUGCCUAGGCUCUCAGAGGCGAUGAAGGACGCGAUAAGCUGCGAAAAGCUGUGGGGAGGUGCACAUAACUUGUGAUCCGCAGAUAU
rnacentral:sRNA from 1 species